UUUCGGAUCGUAAAGCUCUGUUGUUAGGGAAGAACAAGUACCGUUCGAAUAGGGCGGUACCUUGACGGUACCUAACCAGAAAGCCACGGCUAACUACGUGCCAGCAGCCGCGGUAAUACGUAGGUGGCAAGCGUUGUCCGGAAUUAUUGGGCGUAAAGGGCUCGCAGGCGGUUUCUUAAGUCUGAUGUGAAAGCCCCCGGCUCAACCGGGGAGGGUCAUUGGAAACUGGGGAACUUGAGUGCAGAAGAGGAGAGUGGAAUUCCACGUGUAGCGGUGAAAUGCGUAGAGAUGUGGAGGAACACCAGUGGCGAAGGCGACUCUCUGGUCUGUAACUGACGCUGAGGAGCGAAAGCGUGGGGAGCGAACAGGAUUAGAUACCCUGGUAGUCCACGCCGUAAACGAUGAGUGCUAAGU
rnacentral:rRNA from 1 species